UACGGAGGAGGCAAACGUUGUUCGGAAUCAUUGGGCUUAAAGCGCGUGUAGGCGGAAUGGAAGGCGUCUUGUGAAAUCCCACGGCUCAACCGUGGAAUUGCUCGGCGAACCACCAUUCUUGAGGCAGGUAGAGGCGAGCGGAACUAUGGGUGGAGCGGUGAAAUGCGUAGAUAUCCAUGGGAACGCCGGUGGCGAAAGCGGCUCGCUGGGCCUGAUCUGACGCUGAGACGCGAAAGCGUAGGUAGCAAACAGGAUUAGAUACCCUGGUAGUCUACGCUGUAAACGAUGCGCACUAGGUACGCGAGGUUCUGACGCCGAGCGUGCCGAAGCAAAAGUGUUAAGUGCGCCGCCUGGGGAGUACGGCCGCAAGGCUAAA
rnacentral:rRNA from 1 species